CUUGCAAUUUCCAGCAAGAAUAUUUAUAAUGUGCCUUGUCACGAAAGUGAUGAUGAUUCUGAACUCGUUGCGGAAUAAUCGUUUUGGACUGGGGGGCGGUACCCCACAGCUCCACCAAUAUAUUUCAUGGGGCUGACAUAGUUUCGACAGGCGAAGUAAAGGCAAAUCGAUUGAAUCCGGGUUGUUCCGUUAAAAACAAAAUUAAAACUGAAUGGCGAUAGAAUCGCUGCGAACAGCAAUGUUCGCCUUGCAAUGGCUGCUUAAUAAAGCACAGAAAUACGUUGGCGAUUGUUGAUGUAUUUCAUUAUAGCUUUUGCGGGGUCUGUCGGGUACCUGGCAACAGAAACC
rnacentral:tmRNA from 1 species